rnacentral:lncRNA from 1 species
ACACACCUAGGGAGUUUGCUGUUGGCCUGCGAAGACCCUUUAUGGGACAUGGAUCAAAAGUGCUGUUCCUCGAGAUACUUACCUCCAGUAUAGGAUCCUGGUGUCAAAAGGAAUCAGAUACGGCUCCAUUGUACAUGGCAUGACUUGUAUAGCCAGACAGAGCAGGUAUAUGUGAGUAUGGACUUCAUAAGCAAUACUCAAGACCUCAAAAGUGUAUCUUGGGGCCGGGCGUGGUGGCUCACACCUGUAAUCCCAGCACUUCAGAUGGCAGAGGCGGGUGGAUCACCUAAGGUCAGGAGUUUGAGACCAACCUGGCCAACAUGGCAAAACCCUGUCUCUACUAAAAAUACAAAAAUUAGCCGGACAUGGUGGCACACACCUGUAAUCCUAGCUACUUGGGAGGCCCAGGCAGGAGAAUACUUGAAGCCGGGAGGUGGAGGUUGCAGUGAGCCGAGAUUGCGCCAUUGCUCUCUAGCCUGGGUGACCAAAAAAAAAAAAAAAAAAAAAAGUGUAUCUUGGUCUAUCAGUAACAACUGGAUUUAGCAAAGAUGUGGACUUCCCCAGCCUAAUCUCUCGGCUACACCCAUGUCUGUCUUGCAGGUGUGGAAACUUCUGGAUGCCUGCUCUUGUGAGUUCACCUCUAUGUCUACUCUACUGAGGCCUCUCCAUACAGGUCUCAGUUUCCUGCCUUCCUGGGAAGUGGGGAAAGGCUGAGAGGCCCCGUGCUGGGGGUGAAGCUAAUUCAUUAGUUACGCCUCAACAAGGACCGGGUGCCUGCAGUGCCAGCGUGAUUCAUCAUGAUGAUUGCCCCACUGCCAGCCUGCGUGGGCCUGGAACGCCAGCACAUUUUACCUUUACCCACUGAGAAGGGCCUGGUGGGAGGUGAAGGUACAGGAUCUGCCGAGAGCAAGAAAAAGACUCUGAGAAAGAAGAGGGCUGGUCCUCCAUGCUCUCGG